rnacentral:rRNA from 1 species
GAUGAACGCUAGCGACAGGCCUAACACAUGCAAGUCGAGGGGCAGCACAUGAGUAGCAAUACGAUGGUGGCGACCGGCGCACGGGUGAGUAACACGUAUGCAACCUGCCUGUAAGCGGGGGAUAACCCGGAGAAAUCCGGACUAAUACCGCAUAAGACUUUAGUACCGCAUGGUAUAUAAGUUAAACAUUUAUGGCUUACAGAUGGGCAUGCGUAUGAUUAGCUAGUUGGAGAGGUAACGGCUCCCCAAGGCAACGAUCAUUAGGGGUUCUGAGAGGAAGGUCCCCCACACUGGUACUGAGACACGGACCAGACUCCUACGGGAGGCUG